rnacentral:rRNA from 1 species
AUGGCGAGAGGACUGGAUUCAGAUUAUAUUGGUUCUAUUUCGCUCAUGGAUGGAUUUGAUAUGGGUAUCACGUUUGAUGGGUUUGGAGAAAAUAUGAAGAAGUUCAUGGAGUUACCGAUCAAAUAUCUUGAUUCUGCUCACGAUAAAGCUGUUGAGCUAGUUGAGGAUAUCCAUGCGCUGAUUUACGCUCACUCUCCUGAUGAUAAAUUUCCGGACAAAGACCAUGGGACAUUAACGGAUCCAUCUAAUAACGGUGCCAUAACCGGAUCUCCCUCCACACGUGUUAAAAUGCAGCAAGUUAACCCUAACGAAGGAUUCUCUGGUUAUCCUUCAUCUCUCGUUACCGCGGAAGACCGUUCUCUCGGCUCAACUGCUACUGAUGUUCAUGAAACUGAGUCUGUUUCAUCUACAACUCCAGCCAUGUGUGCUUCUGAAGACUCCAUUUCACUUGAGAGAACUGCUGACACCAAGGAGGAAGUUGCUUUUUGCAAUUCAGAGGAUCUCUCCAAUAACUGCGCUCCUGAAAAUCACAAUUCACUAGGGGGAUCUGUUAGCAGUGAGGAGGAAAUUAUAUUAUGGAAUCAAUGGAAUUCUGUAACACCACGACAAUCACCUGAGCUAGCCACCGUAGUCCAAGAUUAUGUAUCUGAAGAAGCGAACGGAAAUAAAAUCAUCGAGCAAGUUGAACUCCCUGGUUCAGGACCUUCAGCUGCUUUUGAUGGAGCAAUUCUGCUUGGAAAGGGAAAUGAUGAAGAGCAAUCAGAAUUAUGCAGUGAGAACAGCCAUGAAGAAUCAACAAAGCACGGUUACAUAAAGAAUUUGUCUGUUGGGUCUGUUUCACAUUACUUGAGUGCAGAGGUGUUCGCUGCUGCUGAUGAUCCAAAUAUGUCUACUGACGAGGCCACAGAUUUUGUUAAUGUAGACCUCCGGGAUGGCCAGGAGCAGAUGAAAUAUAACAAAGCAGAGGCAUCCUCGGUUCCUCAACCAAAAAACACAUCAUUCAAGAAAGUGUUGAUGAGGAGCUUGUCGAAUAAACUCCGGUGGUCAAAGAAGGAUAUGAAUGUGCAUCAGGCCGUCCCCUUUAGACCACAGAAAUCAGUAGAUGUUUGCUAUGAAGUAGUUUGUUCAUCAGAUGGUCUGGAGGAUGAUUGGGAACUCUUAUAA